rnacentral:rRNA from 1 species
UGAACGCUGGCGGUAGGCCUAACACAUGCAAGUCGACCGGCAGCACAGUAAGAGCUUGCUCUUACGGGUGGCGAGUGGCGGACGGGUGAGGAAUACAUCGGAAUCUACUUUUUCGUGGGGGAUAACGUAGGGAAACUUACGCUAAUACCGCAUACGACCUACGGGUGAAAGCAGGGGAUCUUCGGACCUUGCGCGAUUGAAUGAGCCGAUGUCGGAUUAGCUAGUUGGCGGGGUAAAGGCCCACCAAGGCGACGAUCCGUAGCUGGUCUGAGGGGAUGAUCAGCCACACUGGAACUGAGACACGGUCCAGACUCCUACGGGAGGCAGCAGUGGGGAAUAUUGGACAAUGGGCGCAAGCCUGAUCCAGCCAUACCGCGUGGGUGAAGAAGGCCUUCGGGUUGUAAAGCCCUUUUGUUGGGAAAGAAAAGCAGCAGGUUAAUACCCCGCUGUUCUGACGGUACCCAAAGAAUAAGCACCGGCUAACUUCGUG